rnacentral:rRNA from 1 species
AGGGUUCGAUCUGGCUCAGGAUGAACGCUAGCGGCAGGCUUAACACAUGCAAGUCGAGGGGCAGCGCGAGUAGCAAUACUUGGCGGCGACCGGCGCAAGGGUGCGUAACGCGUGAGCAACAUGCCCGUAUCAGGGGGAUAAUCCAGGGAAACUUGGUCUAAUACCCCAUAGUAAUUUUGUAAGGCAUCUUAUAAGAUUUAAAGCUUUGGUGGAUACGGAUUGGCUCGCGUGACAUUAGCUGGAUGGUAAGGUAACGGCUUACCAUGGCUAUGAUGUCUAGGGGUUCUGAGAGGAAGGUCCCCCACACUGGAACUGAGACACGGUCCAGACUCCUACGGGAGGCAGCAGUGAGGAAUAUUGGACAAUGGAUGGAAAUCUGAUCCAGCCAUGCCGCCGUGAAGGAAGAAGGUCCUAUGGAUUGUAAACUUCUUUUGUAUGGGAGCAAUAAGGCCUACGAGUAGGUUGAUGAGAGUACCAUACGAAUAAGCACCGGCUAACUCCGUGCCAGCCGCCGC